UGGUAUAGUGGAAAGAAUUCUGGAGUUGGAGUCCAGAGAAUCUGGGUUCAAAUCCCAG
rnacentral:tRNA from 1 species